AAGCAGCACAGGAAUGUUCAACUCUGCCUGGAUUCUGUGACUUGCAGAUAUUAAAUAUCAAUUUGUCCAGGCUUCAGUCACUGCCACUGCACCUGGAUGCAGAACAAGAGCUCUGCAGGACAUUCAGAAAGAUUCAUCUACCUCAGGGCUGGUGGCAGUUUCUUCCCUGAGCUACUCCUCCUGCUCCAGGAAUGACUCCAGCUGUGCUCUGUCCAUCUCUCACCAUGUUUCAUUUGAUGUCUGUAGCCUCCUUUCCAUCAAAAGACACCAAAAAGAAGCAGCUCCUGCCAGACUCCAGUGGUGCAGAAUGAUUGGGAAUUUUUUCUCCUCCUGUGAACAAGUGAAGCAUCCAUCUCAAACAGCAAAGCUUAUCACCUAUGAUGUUCCAGUUAACCAAAGC
rnacentral:lncRNA from 1 species